AUUGAACGCUGGCGGCAUGCCUUACACAUGCAAGUCGAACGGCAGCAUGGAGAGCUUGCUCUCUGAUGGCGAGUGGCGAACGGGUGAGUAAUGCAUCGGAACGUACCGUGUAAUGGGGGGAUAACGUAGCGAAAGUUACGCUAAUACCGCAUACGACCUGAGGGUGAAAGCAGGGGAUCGCAAGACCUUGCGUUAUACGAGCGGCCGAUGUCAGAUUAGCUAGUUGGUGAGGUAAAGGCUCACCAAGGCGACGAUCUGUAGCGGGUCUGAGAGGAUGAUCCGCCACACUGGGACUGAGACACGGCCCAGACUCCUACGGGAGGCAGCAGUGGGGAAUUUUGGACAAUGGGCGCAAGCCUGAUCCAGCCAUGCCGCGUGAGUGAAGAAGGCC
rnacentral:rRNA from 1 species